AAAAUCAUUAUGCAGGUUGUUUCUUAAACCCAUUGAACAUAGUGAUCGGACGUCAUCUCCCAAUUUUGAAUUCCCUGUAUUCGAAGCGGAAGAAGAUGAUGUUGAAGGGAUUCCUGACGAGAUUUCCCGACUUCUUGAGCAAGAAAAGAAGAUCACACUCAGCUGCAUCUUGAGAAUCAGCAGAACAGCCAACUGGGGCAUUUAUCAAAAAAAAAAAAAAAAGAAAAAAAGAAGAAAGAGGAGGGUGCGAAAAAAAAAUCAAAAGAAAUCAAAAGAAAUCAAAAGAAAUCAAAAGAAAUC
rnacentral:lncRNA from 1 species